GCAAACUUGGUCAUUUAGAGGAAGUAAAAGUCGUAACAAGGUUUCCGUAGGUGAACCUGCGGAAGGAUCAUUUGCGAGCUGGCAACAGCGAGUCUCCUGUGUGCACUGUGUGUUGGGGGGUUAGGGUGGUAGGUUGUGGGUGUGCUUUUUCUGAGUGCAGGUGCUCUUUUUGGAGGGUAGUUGUGCUCUUGAUGAGUGCAGGUGUGCUCUGUUUAGGAGUGCCUUCUCCCUCAGUCUACUACGCUGCUCCCCAGCAAGCUUAUUUUUCAACAUUGAGUGUCAGUGAAGUGUGUGAUGAUGGCAAAAGAGAAGAACAAAUGAAACAGAAAACACAGUUUUAACGGUGGAUCUCUUGGCUCGUGCAUCGAUGAAGAACGCAGC
rnacentral:misc_RNA from 1 species